rnacentral:lncRNA from 1 species
UUUUUUUUUUUUUUAAAUCAGACAUUUGUCUAUUUUUAGAGAUUCAGAGGGCUUUCCCUGAUUAGGUCAAAGUAUCACAGGAAAAAAAAAUAAUAAAACACUGAAAGGAAUCCACCUAUCAAGAAAGCAUCUUGGCCAAAGAUAGGAGAGACGAGGGAAGGAGGUCCUGGAGGUCAUGAGAAGAGUGAGCAAUUAAUCAGAAGGUCAAAGGUCUCUCUGAGAACACCAUGGUGCUGUGCACAGAGAGUCACUUAUUAUUGAGAAAGGCAAUGAUUUAAAAUAAGCUUCCUCAUCUGGAAGGAUGAGAAUAAUAUCCACCUCAUAGAGUAUUAUCUCGGGGUAACAUGAGAUAAUUACGUUUAAUGCUCAUGAACUGGAAAACGCUUUGAAAAUACAACAUAGGAUUAAGAGAGGUUGUUCGAAACCCUGAAAACUGCACAGCCUCCUGAAAGAGUGGAAACUAGAUGCAUGGCCUGUUGUAGGGUAUUCUGUUAACUGAUUUGCAAGAGGCUUCUUGGUCUGCCUUCCUCUUUAUAACUUCACAGAAGGUACAAAGCACCAGUACAGCCCCCUCUAAGAGCAGGCAUCAGUUCUGACUGGCUCUGUUAUCUUAAAACAAAAACAAAAACAAAAACCUUUCUGGCUGGGUGUGGUGGCUCAUGCCUGUAAUCCCAGCACUUUGGGAGGCCAAGAUGGGCAGAUCACCUGAGGUUGGGAGUUCGAGACCAGCCUGACCAACAUGGAGAAGCCCCGUCUCUACUAAAAAUACAAAAUUAGCCGGGCGUGGUGGCCCAUGUUUGUAAUCCCAGCUAUUCAGCAGGCUGAGGCAGGAGAACUGCUUGAACCCGGGAGGCGGAGGUUGUGGUGAGCCGAGAUCGGGCCAUUGCAUUUCAGCCUGGCCAACAAGAGUGAAACUCCAUCUCAAAAAACAAACAACCAAACAAACAAAACUUUCUAAGAGCAAAUAAUGUAAAUAAUGUAUCUGUCACCCAUUGCACAGUGCCUAACCUUCCACCACCCUCUAAGGAGCAUCUCCUUAGGGCCCUUGAAGAUGGGAAGGAUUCUUCACAAGUGCAAAUGACUGGAAGGCAGCCAGUAUCUACAGUGUUGAGGUUUCUGUCCAGCUAAAAAAAAUCUAGAGGAAAAGCACUGAGUGUUGGAGGAAAUGGGUGGUGAAGAUUUCCCUUGAAUGGUUCUCACAUCAGAUCAGAGGGGUGUUGGGGAGGAAUGUUAAUUUUUUGCCUACAGACUAAAAAUAAUGGCAAUUAUUAGUGAAUUAAAAUAUUCUUAACCUUUAACAGAAAGGGAACCUCCCAGAAUGCAGAUGUUUUUUCACUCCACCAACAUUUAUUGAGCAUCUAGUAUGUGUUGAUCUCUAUGAUGGGAGCUGGGAAGACAUAGCUGUGAAGAAGGGCAAGCAUCUCUGUGGACCUAUUUCCUAGUAGGAUGACAAGAAGGCAGGCAUUGUCUCAAACCAGGGCAUGACUCUCCCACAAACUCUAAAGGAAGCUGGUCAGUGGUUCUCCUUUUAAUUUGCAUAAUCUGUAUGGUUUGAUUCUGACAUCUGAGGCAGGUAAGAUUUUUCAUUUUUUGCCUGUCAUGCCACUUGUUCUUUGUGUUUAUUAUUAUUUUUUAAUAAAAAAAUUGUUGCUGGGCAUGAUGGCUCACGCCUGUAAUCCCAGCAUUUUGGGAGGCCGACCACGGCAGGCGGACCACGUGAGGUCAGGAGUUCAAGACCAGCCUAGCCAACAUGGUGAAACACUGUCUUUACUAAAAAUACAAAAAGAAAAAAUUAGCCGGGCAUGGUGGCAGGUGCCUGUAAUCCCAGCUACUCAGGAGGCUGAGGCAGGAGAAUUGCUUGAACCUGGGAGAUGGAGGUUGCAGUGAGCUGAGAUCACGCCACUGUACUCCAGCCUGGGUGAAAGAGCAAGAUGUCGUCUCAAAAAAAAAAAUUGUUUACUUUCCAGUGUCAUUUUAACUUGUUACUAGUGAGCAUCUGGCCUGGGUGUUUUCCAUUAGCAUGAAAAUUCAGAAGGCUACAGAAGGAAAUACCUAUAAUUGAGCAGCGAGAGAGCCACUUCAUUCUGUGGCCAGGCAAUAUGUCUUGCAUUUCUCUAGUGUAAAUAAAAUGAUGAUUCAAAGAAUGGUCCCCAUUAAUGAGUAUCUGAUUUAGAAUAAAACAAAAUCCAUGCUGGGAAGUUGAUGAGCUUGAUUUUGCUGAAUUGCUUUGAGCUUGCAGCUUAUAUUUAUUGGUUCUUUCCUUUCGACAAUUGUCACCAGUUGUCUGCUGUUCUUUCGGGAGAGGGCUUGAAGGUUGAUUUUAGUUCCCUGUAACUGGAGGUGACAUGUGAAAGCUCAAAGCUAUUGAAAAGGGUGAGAGCUGAAUGUAGGCUCCAACAGGAAGACGGCAUUGAAGCCUGGUUGCUUGUUACUACUCAGAAUGCCAUCUACAAAAGGAAAUUAUGUAAAAAGCAAUAAAGAACCCCUUUUGUUCUUGCAGGAGUCAGUGUUUCAUAACUCUUUCUGUGAUAUCGUCUGUAUAAGUUGAACCUCUAAAGAACCUUAUCUAAGUUGCCACGACCUUACUCAUUACCCUCAAGAAAGAUGAACAAUUUAAAGGGGGAAAAAAGGAAGUGAAAAAAAUGGCGGAUACGAGGCAGAACUAACCUGCAGCUUCCACUCGAAGGGACAGAGCAGAGUGUGGAGACCCACAACUGGAACUUUUUCUCCAAGAACUACCACAGGAACAUACCAAGAAAGCCAAGAGAAUCCACAGAACCUUUGGAGGAAGUGGUUUGUCACUGCAGGCUCUGUGGGACAGCUGAGGAACUGUUUUCAUGGUGAUUUCAACUAAUAUGUGGAAGGGAAGGAGGGGAAGAGGAAAGACUCGGUGAUGGCUACAGCAGGCAAACCAUAUGCCACCGCAUGGGCCUGAGGACAAUCUCGGACGUCUUGCAAACAAUCACCCACACAAGUGUCCUGAUGAGUGGCGACCUUCUCAGCGAGGACUGACAACCACACGGGUUCCUACUUCAUGACCAGACCAGGGUCACCAUGGAGACAUUUCUCAUUGGAUCAGCUUAUU